UAUUAGCAAAAUCAAAAAUUUGAACCUUGGACCUCUGGUUGACACAGAAUGACCCCUCAAUUAAGAUCUCAGAAUAUCUAGUUUAGUGUUUCGUGUUUCCAUGAGAUGUGUUGAAAAACACUUAUUCGUUCAGAAACAGUGCAGAUCUAAAGAUCACAGUCCUCUCCCGUGCUUCAGGUCAGAGCAGAGCCGUUUUCUGAUCUGCUGUUCUUUCGCUCUUUACCGGCUGUAGGUGGCAGCGAUCCCAGAAGCCCCAGCGCCACUGUGACGGCGGGCUCGUCUCACGAAUCGGGAAGCGGCGAGAAGGAGGCGAUGACAGCGGAGGAGCUGCGCAGGAGGAGACAGGCUUACUUCGACAGGCAGCAAGCUCAGUCCUCCGCUCACCACAGCAGCUCCGCCGCAGAUCAUGUUGUUUUGCAGACGGAGGGAAGGACAGCGGGACCAAACCCAACCAGUGACGGUCCAUCAGCGCCGGUGACAAACGCCCUGAAUGCCCUCGACCCGAGCUCUCUCUGGGAAUGAUGGGACUCACAUCUCCUCUCAGAACUGGCCCGGGACCGAUCAGGUCCUGCUGUGUAAUAAAGGGACAUUCGUUUAGCUUCGCUUCUCCUCUUUGAGUUGAACGAAGUGAAAGGGAAGCGUUUCCCGGAUCAUUCCUCUUCCUCAGACGGACACACGAGCGAGACGAGACCGCGGCGUGAGGAGGGAGCUGUCAGCGCUGGGAUCACUCCUGCAAUCUGGGACCAUUGGGCUUUACUGGGGUUACUGGAUCUCUCUGCUCUUCUCCUCUGUGGACUGUAGUGAAGACCUUCUGCUGGUCACCGGUGAGCGGCGGGUGACGUGCCCUAGGUAGACGGCACAGUGAGGGCAGAUGCUGAUGUGGAGAUCAGUCUUCAUACAGAUUCAGACCUUCACUUGUUUUAGUCGUUCAUCAGUCAUCCCUCAUUUGUUGGCAGGCAGCAGCUCUUUUGGAUCUAGGUUGUGAUUUCUCAUGGUUUUCACAUUCUUUUCUAUGAUUUCAUGCGUUUGGUGGCACAGCAGCGUUUCUGAACUCGUUUCACAUUCAGCAAUAGUUUUUAAGUGAUUGGUUAUUCUUGAACUCCUAUAUAGACUUAUUGUUUCUUAAAUAAAAACCUUUCUUUUCC